ensembl:lincRNA
CGGGCUCCCAGUGGCUUUGGAUGGUAAGAAAGGAGGAAGCUGGGCCUUUAAAUUGCUGAGUCACCUGGGCAGUGCCAACAGCCACCUCAGAGGAUGACGAUGGCAGUCCUCAUGAUCACUGUAGCACCUCAAUUGAGAGACUGAGAUCGGUCAUUCAGCAAGCAUUUCCUGAGUGCCUGCUGUAUACCAAACACGUGGCAGGUCAGGAGAAUCUCCAGUCUGAGGUAAUGAGAUCCGAAAGGUGACGUGAGGAGCCAAGACUGAAGGUAUUCAAGAGAGAGAGACACUACUGAGCUGGGCUGUCUGAGGAGGUGACAAAUGACUUCAGACCUGAAUGACAGUUUAGAAGUUCCUGAAGAAGUGGAGCGUGCCAGCUGGGGGUGCAGCUCGGUGGCCAUGUGACCUAAGGAGCUCUGUUCUAGAUGUUUACCCGGAAGAAAUGGAAACAUCUGCAGAAAUCCACACACGCAUUCCUACAUCUGCCGGAAGAGCUACAAGCUCUGCAAAUGCUGAGAUGACAGGAACAAGCUACCAUACCUGGCUUCAAAUUGGACAGCAUUUAUGAAUAUUCCUACCAGUGACCACUGAAGAGAAAGAAUUUUGCCUAAGGUUAGAAGAUCUUUUUUUUUGGGGGGGGGGGUUCCAGACAGGGUUUNNNNNNNNNNNNNNNNNNNNNNNNNNNNNNNAUAGCCCUGGCUGUCCUGGAACUCACU